GAUGAACGCUGGCGGCGUGCUUAAUACAUGCAAGUCGAACGGAAAGGCCCUGCUCUUGUGGGGUGCUCGUGUGGGGAACGGGGGAGUAAAACGUGAGGAAACCGCCCCUGACUUUGGGAUAAAUCCAGGAAAAAGGGGCUAUUAUCGGAUAGGAGCUACUGCUGCAUGGGGGGGGUUGGAAAGAUGCGGCGGUUGGGGUUGGGCUCGCGGCUUAUCCGCCUGUUGGUGGGGUAGGGGAUUACCAAGGCUUGGACGGGUAGCCGGCCUGGCAGGGUGACCGGCUACAUUGGGACAGAGGUGCGGCCCAUACUCCAACGGGCGGCAGCAGUGGGGAAUAUUGCGCAAUGGGCGGCGGCCUGAUGCAGCGACGCCGCGUGCGGGAUGACGGCCUUCAGGUUGUAAACCGCUUUCGCCUGUGACGAAGCGUGAGUACCGGUACUGGGUAAAGAAGCACCGCCUACCUCCUU
rnacentral:rRNA from 1 species